rnacentral:lncRNA from 10 species
AUUUUAUUUACAUUUUCCCUUUAAUCAGCUUCACCUGCCAUAAAAAUCAUCUAACAGAACCACCGGAUAAUCCUACAAUAUCUCAUGUAUUAUAAAGUUUCAUUAUUCCUCAGAUUCCUAUGGAUAUUUCAGAGGUACCAAGUUUUUUUUCAACUUUUCUUCUAAGGGGAUAGUUCUAAAUUAUAGAUAUGAGUUCCUAAAAAUAUAACUUCACUAAUGCUAAAAGAAGUUAACACUUUAGGGGUUAGGUUUUUAAAACUAAAUGUUAUCCCCUUACCAAAUAUAAUAAUAAUUUUAAAAAUAUAGAUGGAUGGUUAAUCACCAUCUCUGCUUUAACAUCAAGCAAUCUCUUCCCCCAAAUGCCAUCUCCUUAGAUUUGGAUCAUUACUCUUCUAUAAACUGCUCCUUUCCUCCCAUUUGAAAUUAAUCUUUUAUUAACCUUUCAUUUUUAUAGCAGUUUUCCAAAUUAUUUUAUAUACACAUACAUAUGAACAUAACCAGAAAUGACUGAUUUUCUAAUAUGUAUUACAGAAGAUCUCAUUUUAUAGUCUUACCACAAAUAUGUGAGAAAAAGAUGAUGUGACCUGUAAUUAGUAAACUGACUAGCGAGAUAUUCACUUCACCUUAUUAAAUCUGAAGUACUAGUUAAGCCCCUGUUAAGGGGACUCCUACUCUCUCCAAUGAUGAAUAUGAUGGCUAAACACAUAAGAUAAGGAUUUACUACUUGUAGAGCACUAUUCUAAGUGUUUACAUAUAUUAACUCAUGUCAUGCUCCCAACUACGCUGAGUUUAAUAUUAUUUUCCCCCUCCUUUCUAGAUGAGAAAACAAAGAGGUUAUGUAGUUUGCCUGAAGUCACACAGUUGAAAAUGGAUGGAGCCAGGAUGUAAGAUGAAAACUGUGCAAAACCAUAUUGCAGAUAUUGCUAAAGAUCAACUCCCUACCAGGCCAGUUCAUUCAUAGGAACAGCAGCUUUAAGUUAGCUUCCCUGUAUAUAAAUAUAUGCAAUUUUAAUUAGUUUUAGUUUAAUUAAAUCAAAUCAAAGUGAGUUUAAAAAUCUAGGAAAGAUAAAGAAACUUUAGUACAUACAUAGACUAUUUUUUCUUUGUUUGAGACAGAGUGUCACAUCGCCCAGGCUGGAGUGCAGUGGCGUGAUCUCAGCUCACUGCAACCUCCACCUCCCAGGUUCAAACUAUUCUCCUGCCUCAGCCACCUGAGUAGCUGGGAUUACAGGCAUGCAACACCACACCCGGCUAAUUUCUGUAUUUUUAGUAGAGACCGAGUUUCGCCAUGUUGGUCAGGCUGGUCUCAAACUCCUGACCUCAGGUGAUCCGCCCACCUUGGCAUGAUCCGCCCACCCAAAGUGCUGGGAUUACAGGCGUGAGCCACCACGCUCAGCCACAUAUGCUAUUAUAUGUGAAAUAUUCUAUUGUAUGUAUAUAGUAUGUGUAUGUAGCAUGUGAAAUCCUGUCACACGCUACAACACGGAUGAACCUCAAGGACAUUAUGUUAAGUGAAAUAAAUGAGUCACAAGACAGCUAUGAUUCCAUGAAUAUGAAGUACUUAAAGUAGUCAAAAUCAUACAAACAGCAAGAAAAAAGGUAGUUGCCAAAUGGGGGAGAGAUGAAAAGGGAAGUUGGUAUUUAAAAGGUAGAGUUUCAAUUUUGCAAGAUGAAAAAUUCUAGAGAUGUGUUACACAACAAUGUGAAUACACUUAACAUUACUG